rnacentral:rRNA from 1 species
UACAGAGGGUGCGAGCGUUAAUCGGAAUUACUGGGCGUAAAGCGUGCGCAGGCGGUUUUGUAAGCCAGAUGUGUAAUCCCCGGGCUUAACCUGGGAAUGGCAUUUGGGACUGCAAGGCUCGAGUGCGGCAGAGGAGACUGGAAUUCCUGGUGUAGCAGUGAAAUGCGUAGAUAUCAGGAGGAACACCGAUGGCGAAGGCAGGUCUCUGGGCUGACACUGACGCUCAUGCACGAAAGCGUGGGGAGCAAACAGG